rnacentral:rRNA from 1 species
GUGGGGAAUUUUGGACAAUGGGCGCAAGCCUGAUCCAGCCAUGCCGCGUGUGUGAAGAAGGCCUUCGGGUUGUAAAGCACUUUCGGCCGGAACGAAAUCGCGCGGGUGAACAUCCCGCGUGGAUGACGGUACCGGAAGAAGAAGCACCGGCUAACUACGUGCCAGCAGCCGCGGUAAUACGUAGGGUGCGAGCGUUAAUCGGAAUUACUGGGCGUAAAGGGUGCGCAGGCGGCUCCGCAAGUCAGGCGUGAAAUCCCCGGGCUUAACCUGGGAAUGGCGCUUGAAACUACGGGGCUGGAGUAUGGCAGAGGGAGGUGGAAUUCCACGUGUAGCGGUGAAAUGCGUAGAGAUGUGGAGGAACACCGAUGGCGAAGGCAGCCUCCUGGGCCAAUACUGACGCUCAUGCACGAAAGCGUGGGGAGCAAACAGGAUUAGAAACCCGUGUAGUCC